GUCUAUGGCCAUGCUACCCUAAAUAAGCCUGAGCCCAUCUGAUCUCGGAAGCUAAACAGGGUCGGGCCUGGCUAGUGCUUGGAUGGGAGACCACGUAGGAAGACCAGGUGCUGUAGACG
rnacentral:rRNA from 1 species